rnacentral:rRNA from 1 species
AUGAACCGCUCCUCGGCCCCGGGCCCGGAUGGACUGCCGGUUUUGUUCUUUAAAACAUUCUGGCAGACCAUUAAGCCGGAGGUCAUGGCCCUCUUCGAUGAGUUCUUCUCUGGGACCAUGGACCUGGGGCGCCUGAACUAUCGGAUCAUUACCCUCAUCCCCAAAGUCCCUGGGGCCUCGGACAUCUGCCAGUUUCGUCCCAUCACCGUGAUCAACGUGAUCUUCAGGAUCCUGGCCAAGGGGUACGCCAAUAGGGUGACCCUGCUUGCAGAUUCUAUUACCCAUCCCAACCAGUCUGCCUUCAUACAAGGCCGAUAUAUUUUGGAUGGGGUGUUAGUCUUCCACGAAGUCCUCCACGAAGUUCGAGCGAAACACCUCCGCGCGGUGUUCCUUAAGCUCAACUUCCACAAGGCCUAUGACAUGGUUCACUGGCCCUUCCUUUGGGAAGUUUUGCUUCGGAAAGGCUUCGACGACCGCUGGGUGACACGGGUUAUGCAACUCGUCACCUACGGCCGGACGGCGGUCAACAUCAACGGUGAGAUUGGGCCCUACUUCCCCACCUUACGCGGGGUGCGCCAAGGAGACCCGUUCUCCCCAUUUCUCUUUAACAUAGUGGUCGAUGCCCUUGCUGUCAUCCUGGAUAAGGCCAAGGCCUGUGGCCAUAUUCGGGGCGUGGUUCCUCACCUUGUUGGUGCGGGAGGGGUCUCCCUCCUCCAGUAUGCGGACGACACCAUUAUCAUGGUUGAAGGCUCCACUUCCGACAUCGCCAACCUGAAGUUCCUUCUUCUUCCAACAAAUGUCCGGACUGACCAUUAA